UACAGAGACUGCAAGCGUUGUUCGGAUUCAUUGGGCGUAAAGCGUGCGCAGGCGGUUUGCUAAGACAGGUGUGAAAUCCCCGGGCUUAACCUGGGAACUGCGCUUGUAACUGGCAAGCUGGAGUGUGGCAGAGGGGGGUGGAAUUCCACGUGUAGCAGUGAAAUGCGUAGAGAUGUGGAGGAACACCGAUGGCGAAGGCAGCCCCCUGGGCUAACACUGACGCUCAUGCACGAAAGCGUGGGGAGCAAACAGG
rnacentral:rRNA from 1 species